CUGAUAGAUUCCACCGUUGUGAGCCACUGACAUUGAGAACUGUUUAAAGCACAGGAUUGUCACAGAAAACCCUACUACAUGCUGUCAUGUGAUCACUUAAGGCCAGUAAAAAAUAAGAUACAGCUGUGAGGCUAAAGGGGAAAGAGGAAAGGGGAAUGAACCAUCUUAGAGGCGCUGCAGACUGAAUGAACUAACUCAGAAUCAGGAAAAGCUCGUGUGUGGACAACAGCUGCCCAAACUGCUUUCUAAACCACACCAGUGACCAGCCAGCUCCUAAAUGCUCUCUGAGGGCAUCACAGAGACCUUCUCAGGCCUGGAAUGUGUGUUUUCAGACAGUGAGGAUCCUAGAAAAAUCCCUGAGUUUUGCCCACCCCCUAUACUGUCCACACAGGAUGAAAAGUGGCUUCUCUCUCAGAUGAAUUAUGGGCCUGUGUUCCUGAGAAGUCCCUCCUCUCCCUGACUUGGUGUUCCACCUACAAAGAACACGUGACCCCUCUAUUCUGUACCAGCUGGAAGAGGCUUCUGGGUACAGGAAGAUUUUUAUUCUCAGGAUGAGAAGAACCUCAUUGGACCAACCCCUUGGCUUCAACCUCUUACAACCCUGAGCACACACCCCAAAUGACCCUGAUGUUACUAUCUGGAUAUGAAGCAUCCCCAGCACAAGGCUCCUCAGAUGAAUGCCUGGUCCUCACUGCAGCUGUGCUCCGAGGUAGACCCUUCAGAGGAAACUGGGUCCUGAAGACUGACUUCAUCAAUGGGUUCAUCUACUGUGUGACCAAACCAGAUGGAUGCCUUCAGGUUGCUCGUAUUUCCACGGAGGAGAUAGGUGCCGCUGAACAGAAGUGACAUUCAGGAAGCCACCUGACUUCUUAACAAGACAGACUCGUCUCUACCUGGAGCAUGGCCCUGGAGGCGUCCCAAGGCCAAGGGGAAGAGACUCACUCCUACGGACAUGGAGCAAGAAGAGA